CCAGCUCCAAGAGUGUAUAUUAAAGUUGUUGCCGUUAAAAAGCUCGUAGUUGAACCUUGGACCUGGCUGAUCUGUCCUCCUAAUCGAGCGCACGGAUUCGGUCGGGUCUUUCCUUCUGGGGAGCCCUAUGCCCUUCACUGGGUGUAGUGGGGAACCAGGACUUUUACCUUGAAAAAAUUAGAGUGUUCAAAGCAGGCCUUUGCUCGAAUACAUUAGCAUGGAAUAAUAGAAUAGGACAUCGGUUCUAUUUUGUUGGUUUCUAGGACCGCUGUAAUGAUUAAUAGGGAUAGUCGGGGGCGUCAGUAUUCAAUUGUCAGAGGUGAAAUUCUUGGAUUUAUUGAAGACUAACUACUGCGAAAGCAUUCGCCAAGGAUGUUUUCAUUAAUCAGUGAACGAAAGUUAGGGGAUCGAAGACGAUCAGAUACCGUCGUAGUCUUAACCAUAAACUAUGCCGACUAGGGAUCGGACGGUGGUUUUUUUAU
rnacentral:rRNA from 1 species